GCUGCGGAGAGAGGAAGGCAGGGCAAGUGGGUACUGGGGUGCCACCGCCCCCUUACCCUUACCGCUCCCCACCUGCCCUGGACUCGAGGGCAGCUGGCCCGGGUCCUGGAUGCAACUCCCCCUCACAAUGAGACCGGUGUGGGGAACUGCCACCUGGUGUCUCCCACGGGUGCGUGGGCAGCAAGGAAACCCGAAGCCAUCCUGGAAGACCUGUGUCUUCCAGGGAAAAAGGGACUCAGGGCUCAGCCCAGGCAGGGAAGGCUGAGGGGAGUGGGGCUGUCCUAUGCAGAUGACACCCACCCCUGUGGCCUGGCCUCCAAGAGCUCAGAGCCAUGGAGAAUUGUUUGGAGAACUAAGGAGAGGCAGAGAUGCCCCAGGACCCCGCCCGCUGCCUGGCCUCCACCCGGCACCCCAACAGGCUCUCCCAGGUCUCCCUGCACCCAGCACAGAGCACAGGCUGAGGCCGUGCUUGUGGGAAGCAGAGGAGGAGGGGGCUGGGCAGGGACCCCGGAUGGGAUGCACGGCCUAGAACUCCGGGCCUGAAUCACACCACCUGCUUCUUCCAGGACCCAGAGCAUCUGGGCAGACACUCAGUCGGCGGCUAGGGCCUCUGGCUCUGCUGCAGCUCUGGGGCCCCCUAGCUGGAGGGGUGUGCCCGACACUACCCCUCUGCCCAUGGGGAUGGGACGGACAUAUUCUGCCAGGGCCCAAGGGGAGGGCAGGGAGGAAGUGCCAGACAGCCUCAUGUCCAGCAAGGCUUUCCCAGGGCCUGCUGGCCACAUGUCCCCGAAGCCAGGUGGGCCCCCUCACCCUGUCCACCUGCACCCUGGCACCCUCCGGUGGCAGGCAGAGACCAGCAGGACACAGGCAGGGGCGUGGAGAAUGGGGCAGAGGUGCCAGCUGUCCAGGACGGGAGGGGCCUGGGGGCCAGCAGAGAGGCAGGAUGGCAUGGGACAGAUGGCGUGGGACAGACAGUGUGGGACAGAUGACAGGAGGCCUGCUGAGGCAGGAGGAUGGUGGCUGGGGCUGCCCUCUGGAUGCCCUGUAAGAGGGACCCUUGGCACAGCAGGGCCCGGAAGGAGUAGGGCCUGUCCUUGCUGUGCAAAGGACCUCAGGGCCCUCUCUGGGCAACGGCAGAGAAGCAGCCUCCCGCUCAUCCUGUGGUGUGGAAGGGACAGGAUACGGGAAGGGCUGCUGGAUCCAAACCUGGCUCUCAGGACUCCCCGGAAGCAGCCCAGGUGGACAAGGCUGGGCCUGGCUGAGGGGGCGGAGGGGCGCAGGUGGUGCCCCUUUCCAUCCAUCCCACCUAGGCACCUCGGGAGGCUGCAGGCAGCAGACACAGAGCGGAACCCUCGGGUCCACCAGCCCCUUCACAGGUCAUGGCCAAGUCACGACACUGAUGGUGAUGACCCUGGCUGGCGGAGGCUGGUCUAGCCCUAGGACCAGAGCCCACCACGUCUGCAGGGUCCAGAACCAGAGCCAGGAGGGCUGAGGAAGUGCAGCUGCCCCUCUUUGGCUCCACCCUGGGCUUCCCAUGGGGUCCAUCUGUAGCUGGAACAUGCAAGAAUAGCCUGGGCAGAGAGGACAGGGCCAGGAGUAUGGGGGACACGGAUUCCUAGGAGGCGCCAAAUCAGAAGGUGACCUGCAACAGCAGCCGGGGCAGAAAGUCCUACCGGACUGUGCUGACACAAAAGAAAAAGCAGAAACUGAACUAUCGUUUAAAAAACAACAACAACAACAACAACCAGGAAGCCCACAAGAAUACCCCGAACAAUGAAAUCAUCUAGGAAUGUAAAAACAAGACUGUUCUCCAGUGCAGACCAGACUCAGAUCCCAGUUCCCCAAACUCCCGCCAGCAAAGCAGAAAGACCAUGGGAUGGUGGGUGCCUGGAUAUCAUCCGCCAGCCUGACUUUAUCUUCCAGCUUGUAGAAGACUGUAACUGCAUUUCUUGUUUGAAAAUGAUCUGCUUUCUGGAGGGGGAAGUAUACACCCAGCCAGCCAGCUCCAUCCUGCCCAGCGAGGCUCGGGUAUGGAGCUGAAGUCUAUUUUCGUGCUCCUCUCAGUUCCCUAUCUUUUUCUGCCUUAAAAAAAUCCCCCUAGAGUUUCUACACACAUAAGUUAUUCAGAUGCAAGCUUUUCUGGAAUCCAGGGACGAAAGCCAUGGCUUUGAUAAAUCAUCUCCCUCCCGCUCCUCUGCGUCCACUUCAUCCAUCCUCUGAAUGCAAACCGACAAUGGAGAAUUCGGUCAUACGUUGGCUCAAUCGAGAACAGGCACGCAGGAUCCCUCCUUCCUGGCUGUCUGGGGACCCUACCAUCUUUGGCCGAGUGAGUCGAUGAUAAUACAAGACAUCUGGGAGACAGGAUGCAUCUCCAAACAACGUGCUGGCGUCUCACUCCCCACAUGUGUUCUGAGGGCUCUGUUUCUGGCUCCUUCUGGGUAGCUUUGGGCCUGGGCUACCUGCCACCACUGGCCCACCCAGACCCUCCCUGGGCCCCAUGGCAGGGACCCGCCAGCCCAGAGGCAGAAGGCCUCCAAGAUGGGUCGGCCAGUGACGGAAGGCUUGGGAACAGUUUUCUGGGGGAAAUGCUGCAAUGUUUAUAUGAGAGCCACUUUGGACUUGGUUUGCAGUUUCAUUUGAAUCUCCUGAGUAGUGGCACGGCUCUUAGCUGUUCAAUCCAACAGUUUACACGCGCUCAUAUUCGGGGCUGCAGAAGCACUGCAGACUCCGAUGUGCAGCUGCCCUGGUCAGUGUCCCAGGCCAGGCUGGGGGAUUGCUGAGCAGCAGGAAGCACUUGCUUCUCCUCAGUGUGAGACCGAAAGGGAGGCGUAUGGGUCACUCUUCCCUUCAUCUGCCCCAGUGGGCGGCCCCUGCAGACACGGUGGCGAGCUGUGGUCUCCAGGGUGCAUGGGCCGGCUGCCUGCUCCCAGCCAGGCCUUCCGUGGAGUGCCAAGCUCCAAGCGUGGCCAGCAGGGACAAAGGCCACCACUCGGAGUCCCUGAGGCUCCCCGUGCCAUGGCCUAACCCACCAAGGGGACCUCUCUCCAGUGCGUUCCUGGGCAUCUCUGCCCCCUUUUCGUGUGACGGCCACUCCUCCAGGGCCUCGGCAGACAGGAAAGCUGCCCAUGCCGCCAGCCCAUGACAGCAGCAGCUUCUGGUCCCCAGAGCCAGCAAUCCCUGGUGCACGCGGUGGGUGACGGGAGCAGCUGCGUCCUGUGGGCCUCCUGGGUGUCUGGAGGGAACUGGCAUUGCCAUUUUAUGCAUGACAUGGACAGAGGCACGGCACCAGUGAGGGGCCCCGGGUCCCAGAAGAGCACUGUGGGGUGCCUCGUCCAGAGGUGGGUGAGACACAAGGACAGCUGCCAGGAAAGCACAGUGGGGUGAGGCCCGGGCGUCAGGGCAGUGGCCUUGGCAGGCGGGAGGGAGAGUCACACGCGCAGCACAUGCUGUAUUUUGCUUUUUUUGGUGACCAGUGUCUCAUGAUGUCUGGGAGCACCCAGGAUGUCUGGACAAGUGCUGUUCAAACUGUGGGUCAUGACAUCAGCUGAGGAGGGUGCAGCCACGAAGCACAAACAAGAGACAAACCGAAAACGCGUGGGCAGGUGUCUGCUCAUAACCAGGCCUGUCCAUGUGUAUGAGGACGGGUGAGAAUGGAGAGCACGCUCCUAACUGGGAUGGGAUGGGACGGCCAUGCCUGUGGGUCUGGACCCUCCUGAGGGCGUUCUGUGGCCCCAAGAGCAUGUCUUUAAGACCGCAGAGUGCUCAGGGCAGGGCUGGCUGGUGACAACAAGUCUCCCUCGGAGGAAACAGCAAGGUGGUGGGGGAGAGCUGGGCUGGGACAGGCAGCAGAGAGCAGGCCUGGGGGCAACGCUCUACCCUGGAGCUCACCAAAGCAUUGGGCCCCAGGUGGAGUGGGGCAAGGGGGUCCCCAGGAGCUUGUCACCCAUGGGGUCCGCAGCGCGAUGGUGGCAGACAGACUCAGGCUGAGUAGACAGCAGGAGUAGGCUGGCCGCAUCCCAGGCUGCAGGGCCCAUGUGAGGCCAAGGUGGCUGCUGAGGUCCUGGGUGAGCGGGCACCCCAUGGCCUGCAGGGUCGAGGUCUCGCCAUUAUCUAGCCAGGGAAGGAGGGGAAGAGGGCACUGGUGGCUGCUGAGUGUGAGGGCUGGGACAGGUCUCUCCUCCUAGCCAGGCUGGCCACCCACCCCCCAUGCCCAGGAGCAACACAAAAGACCAGGCCCAGCAGGGGUGAGGCCUGGCCCAUCGUCCUGAGACAACACUGCCCUCUUCUGGCCAGUUCUGGAAGGACAGGCUUGCUGCCCACCAGCUGCAUCCCGACUGGGACAACCAAGGCCUGGGGCAUCCUGGGACACGUGCUCUAGAAACUCUGCGAGGGGCCACAGUAGAUUAAGGCCCCCCUCCAACCCCCACCACCUGAUCGGGAAGUGAGGGAGGCAGGAGGAGUGUCCCAGCUGCUUUCCCAACCAGAGCCCUCCACCUCUGCCCUGUGGGGUGAGCCUCUCCAGGACCUGGGGCGGCCUCAGGCCCGGAGUGCUGCAAGGGAUGGUCCCUCUCUGGGCGCACUGCUUCCCAGAAUCGUGGACCAUGCGCCCCCUGCCCUAGCUGCGAAGCUUGCUGGCCUGCAGUGGCUCUGGUGCCCACAGCCCAGGCUGUUUGUGGAAGGAGGGGGCAGCACAUGGGGGCUCAGAAGACGACCAGGAGAAGCAGGGGGAUGAGUCCUGGCCACCUCUGUGCUCACACAAACCUGUUCGGGGCUGGAGUGAGUGGGGAGGGGUCUUCUGGGGCCUCCCACUUAGGAAUGGCCUCCAGUGAUCUCAGGCACCUCAAUCUGUGUGAACAUGUUGAAAGUGUUAAUUAGCAAGUGUGCUGCGCUUUUGUAACCCUGUUCUUGAAGGUCUGCCUGAGGGGUUUAAAAAGGAAAACAAAAAAAGCAGCGAAUGGCCCCUCUGGUACAGUGACUUGGAGAUGGGGUUCAUGGCGAACCCCAGGAUCACAGCGGGAAAAGACUCUGAGAACAACAGCAAAACCCCCGGAGGCUUGACGGCUACAGGCCCCACAUGGGGCCGCUUGGCUCUGAACCAGGCUGAGGGUGUAUGCAGCCACCACAAAGUCCCGUCCCUCACCCCUGCGUGCAUGCGAGUGGGUGUGGUGGCAUCACACCCAGAGAAGCGGGAAGGGGCCCGGGGGUGGCUGGCUGGGGGUGAGGGACGGCCCUCAGGAAGUCUGUCUCAGUCCUUGGCUGACAAGCCUGACCUGAAGCAGGAACCAGGGUGUCUGGUUCAUAGGCCCUCUUGGACCAUGACUGUGGCCAACAGUGGACUCAGCCUAGCUCCAGGGAAGCUGCUGGAAGGGUAAGGACGGAGCAGUAGGAGGGGGGCCUAGCCAGCCCCAAACCCCGCUUGAUGUACGCAUCAUGGAGGACACUUUUGGGUCGAAGACACGGAACAGGACAACCAGGGGACGGGAGCUGUCUGAGAAUAAACCAGGCCUGGCCUGAGCUCUGCCUGUGGCUCCCACCUCCAGCCUGUGCUGCAGAACCAGCUGCUGGAAGUGGGCAUCAGGGCCUGGCCUGCCCAGCUCGGUGAGGACACCGGGCCUGCUGCUCUUGCCCGAAGAGGGCCCACGCUGUGCCAGGUGGCCACUGCGAGAGAGGGAGGCAGGGGCUUACACUGUGAUCAUUGCAACGCAGCACAGCCUCGGUCAGUUCCCUGUGUGUGUAUCCAUGUGUGUGCGUGUUGGGGGAGUGCUCAUAUCUGGGACUGUGGAGAGAGGGAUGGAAAAGGCUGGCCUCCUCUUAGUACCCCCCACCCUUCUGCAGUACAGCUGUAUAAUCUGGCUGCCCUGGACCAGCUCUGAUUCCCCACAAAAUCCCAUUCCUAGAAGCUAAAAUAUCUCUGGGGUGUCUUCCCCCAGUCAAAGGACUAAAACCCAGAGCAGGCCAUUGCAGCAGGCGCACUGCUCUGGGAGGCGCUCGGCUUCGGGGGAAUUCUACGCUGGGCUCAUGCUUUAGUUUCAUACCUUAGGAUGAAGCAUCGUGGCUUUCAUGUUGGGAUAACAGACUGAUUUAUUAUUUACCGAACGCAGUAGGCGCUCGGCAGAUCAAUUUCAAUACAACAAUGGACUAUAAAUGCCACCAGCAAUCUGGCAGUAGCAGUAAUCAACAAAACAUGUUGUUCUAAAUGCUGCAUAAUAAAUUGACUACAAUAAACUCAUAA